ACCUGCGGAGGGAUCAUUGCUGGAACGCGCUUCGGCGCACCCAGAAACCCUUUGUGAACUUAUACCUAUCUGUUGCCUCGGCGUAGGCCGGCCUCUUCACUGAGGCCCCCUGGAAACAGGGAGCAGCCCGCCGGCGGCCAACUAAACUCUUGUUUCUAUAGUGAAUCUCUGAGUAAAAACAUAAAUGAAUCAAAACUUUCAACAACGGAUCUCUUGGUUCUGGCAUCGAUGAAGAACGCAGCGAAAUGCGAUAAGUAAUGUGAAUUGCAGAAUUCAGUGAAUCAUCGAAUCUUUGAACGCACAUUGCGCCCUCUGGUAUUCCGGAGGGCAUGCCUGUUCGAGCGUCAUUUCAACCCUCAAGCCUGGCUUGGUGAUGGGGCACUGCCUUCUAGCGAGGGCAGGCCCUGAAAUCUAGUGGCGAGCUCGCUAGGACCCCGAGCGUAGUAGUUAUAUCUCGUUCUGGAAGGCCCUGGCGGUGCCCUGCCGUUAAACCCCCAACUUCUGAAAAUUUGACCUCGGAUCAGGUAGGAAUACCCGCUGAACUUAAGCAUAUCAAUAAGCGGAGGAA
rnacentral:rRNA from 1 species